AUUGAACGCUGGCGGCAGGCCUAACACAUGCAAGUCGAGCGGAUGAAGGGAGCUUGCUCCUGGAUUCAGCGGCGGACGGGUGAGUAAUGCCUAGGAAUCUGCCUGGUAGUGGGGGAUAACGUCCGGAAACGGGCGCUAAUACCGCAUACGUCCUGAGGGAGAAAGUGGGGGAUCUUCGGACCUCACGCUAUCAGAUGAGCCUAGGUCGGAUUAGCUAGUUGGUGGGGUAAAGGCCUACCAAGGCGACGAUCCGUAACUGGUCUGAGAGGAUGAUCAGUCACACUGGAACUGAGACACGGUCCAGACUCCUACGGGAGGCAGCAGUGGGGAAUAUUGGACAAUGGGCGAAAGCCUGAUACAGCCAUGCCGCGUGUGUGAAGAAGGUCUUCGGAUUGUAAAGCACUUUAAGUUGGGAGGAAGGGAAGUAAGUUAAUACCUUGCUGCUUUGACGUUACCAACAGAAUAAGCACCGGCUAACUUCGUG
rnacentral:rRNA from 1 species